rnacentral:rRNA from 1 species
GGGGAAAUUGGCCAUGGGCGAAGCCUGAUCCAGCCUGCCGCGUGUGUGAAGAAGGUCUUCGGAUUGUAAAGCACUUUAAGUUGGGAGGAAGGGCAGUAAAUUAAUACUUUGCUGUUUUGACGUUACCGACAGAAUAAGCACCGGCUAACUCUGUGCCAGCAGCCGCGGUAAUA